rnacentral:rRNA from 1 species
GACAGAGGGUGCAAACGUUGCUCGGAAUCACUGGGCGUAAAGGGCGUGUAGGCGGGACAGUAAGUCGGGCGUGAAAUCCCUGGGCUCAACCCAGGAACUGCACUCGAAACUACUAUUCUUGAGUGUCGGAGAGGAAAGCGGAAUUCCUGGUGUAGAGGUGAAAUUCGUAGAUAUCAGGAGGAACACCAGUGGCGAAGGCGGCUUUCUGGACGAUAACUGA